GAGUUUGAUCCUGGCUCAGAACGAACGCUGGCGGCGUGCCUAACACAUGCAAGUCGAACGGAUUUGAGGGGCUUGCUCCUCAAGUUAGUGGCGCACGGGUGAGUAACGCGUAGAUAAUCUGCCUGAUGAUCUGGGAUAACACUUCGAAAGGGGUGCUAAUACCGGAUAAGCCCACGGGGUCUUUGGAUUCUGCGGGAAAAGGGGGGGACUUUCGGGCCUUCUGUCAUCAGAUGAGUCUGCGUACCAUUAGCUAGUUGGUAGGGUAAUGGCCUACCAAGGCUACGAUGGUUACCUGGUUUGAGAGAAUGAUCAGCCACACUGGAACUGAGACACGGUCCAAACUCCUACGGGAGGCAGCAGUGGGGAAUUUUGCGCAAUGGGCGAAAGCCUGACGCAGCAACGCCGCGUGAGUGAUGAAGGCCUUUGGGUCGUAAAGCUCUGUCAGAGGGGAAGAAAUGAUAUAGUGCUAAUACCACUUUAUCUUGACGGUACCCUCAAAGGAAGCACCGGCUAACUCCGUGCCAGCAGCCGCGGUAAUAC
rnacentral:rRNA from 1 species